rnacentral:rRNA from 1 species
ACCCGCUGAAUUUAAGCAUAUAAGUAAGCGGAGGAAAAGAAACUAAAUAGGAUUCCCUCAGUAAGGGCGACUGAACAGGGAUAAGCUCAGCAUGGAAAUCGGGGCCUCUGGCCUUGAAUUGUAGUCUCGAGUUGCAUUGCCAACGGAGGCGCAGAUGUAAGCCUCUUGGAAAAGAGCAUCAACGAGGGUGAGAGUCCCGUUUGUCAUCUGCAGUCCCCCGUGCACGGUAUGCUUCUAAAGAGUCACGUUCCUCGGGAUUGGAGCGCAAAGUGGGUGGUAAAUUUCAUCUAAAGCUAAAUAUAGGUUCGAGACCGAUAGCAAACAAGUACCAUGAGGGAAAGGUGAAAAGGACUUUGAAAAGAGAGUUAAAAGUGCCUGAAAUUGCUGAAAGGGAAGCGAAUGGAACCAGUGCUUCUUGGCAAGAUUGGUGCGUGCUAAUGUGAUUGGCUGCUGCAUCAGCGCAAGCGUUGCAGUGGUUUUUGAUCAGGAUGUGCGUGUUGUUUCUUGCCUUGUGUGUCAACGUCAGUUCUCAAUCGAGGAAAACGCCAGGGACAUGGUAGCUCUGCUGCGGUGGAGUGAAUGUGCUUGGUUGAACUCAUUUGUGGACUGGUUCAUGCGUGUCUGGUUGCAGUGUUUCGUGUUGCCGAAUUUUGUCUGAGUGUGGAUUUCCUCUCUCAGCUGAGUUUGGUAACUGGAGCAUCUCCCUGACACAACGACGCUGACUAAAUGGUUCUAUUCGACCCGUCUUGAAACACGGACCAAGG